rnacentral:rRNA from 1 species
GUGUCAGCAGCCGCGGUAAUACCUGCAGCUCGAGUGGUGGCCGCUAUUAUUGGGCCUAAAACGUCCGUAGCCGGCUUAUUAAAUGCCUGGGUAAAUCGUACGGCUCAACCUUACGAAUUCCGGGUAGACUGAUAGGCUUGGGACCGGGAGAAGCUAGAGGUACUCCUGGGGUAGAGGUGAAAUUCUGUAAUCCUAGGGGGACCACCAGUGGCGAAGGCGUCUAGCUAGAACGGGUUUGACGGUGAGGGACGAAGCCCUGGGGAGCAAACGGGAUUAGAUACCCGGGUAGUCC